ACGACAAUGAGUUACUCUACAGUCCCACUGGCCAGGCUCCAGCAGGCAGCCUCACGAUGUCUUGUGUGCUUGGUCAGUUGGUGGCUGGGGCUGAGGUCAUCUUACUGGGCUGGACAUCCACGGAGUCCUCUUUUAUUCCCAGCCAGGUGCUCAGCUGGGAUGACUGAGGCUGGCCCCUUUUUUAGCCCUUUCCAUGUGGCCUCUUCAUGCCACCAGCUUAGACUUCCUCACUGCAUGGUGAUCUCAGAGAUGUCUGCAUUUGUUACAUGGUGACUGUAAGAGAGAAGCCAAGAAACCAAAAGAGUAAUCAAUGCUCCACCUGGAGUCAAGGUUACACACCUUUGCACAAUGGCAGGCUGUCCUAGGAAGUGUUGGCUGGAGUCUAGGCCACCACAGAGGAGUCUGUCAUUCACGUGUGCCUGCGUUUCUUCCUCUCUGAAAUGGGGGCAGCCUUUCCAAACUCUUGGGCUCAAGGUGAACAGCAAAAGAGGUGUGCCGUGCACAGGCGUGUAAAAGACUAUUUUUUACCUAAAGUGAAUGUUUACUCUCUCCUUAAAGAGGGCCUUCGUGUUGCUCUUUUUUCUUUGAAAUGGAACGUCUGUCUCUGUAUUCU
rnacentral:lncRNA from 1 species